rfam:Corchorus capsularis cultivar CVL-1 contig08122, whole genome shotgun sequence.
AUGCUGUAUGUGAGAAUUGGAGGGAACUAAUUAAGCUGUUAAUAAAAGCCAUAUAUAUGCUUAUUUAGUUUCCUCCAAUAUCUCAUAUCCAGUCU